rnacentral:lncRNA from 1 species
AGGAAAUGGAAAAAUCUUCCCGAAAUUUAAAUUCUUUAUGUUAGCAGUUUAGUUUCUGAAGUAAUAUGGUCGAUAUUAUCUUCUAAGUAAAUUUGAAUGUUAGUUGAUCGAGAUUUCUUAGUGCUUCUUAGUUUGCAUCAUGAAAAAAAAAAAAAACAAAGAAAGUGUUUCAAAAAUUGACUGACAGCACAGAAAUUGUUCAAACUAGCUUUAUUUUCUCCAAAUUGAGAAAACACGGAGAGAAAAAAAAAGUCUGUUUUCAAAUCUUUCCUUCCUCUAAUUUAUAAGACUUAACUAGGUCUCACUUUAUACGUAUUUAGUGUUUCCGCUCGGUGACGUCAUCGUGAUGGGUAUUAUUAAAAGAAAGAUGGCUUUUUCUUGUUCGCGUCAUUGCUGUAAAAGAAAAAAAAAUCGAGCUGAAUCUUGUCACUUUUUCUGAUUGUAAAAGAACUCUAUCUCUUUCACACUUCUGAAGUUUUCGAUCUUCUUCAGCAUGUUUUCCGAAUGGUGACAAAAGUAUAUUUAAUGUGUGACAACUACCAAAAGUGACAAGUUCCGGCAGUUUUGGGAUUUCAUCUAUGAUUAAAAAUAUCCCCAAAUGGAGGGAGAGUUAACGAUGUUUGUAUAUUUUGUGUUUAUUAGUGUGAGAAUUGGGAAUUGCAUUUCUUGUGCGUUAAUUGAAUUUCUUCAACUCCACCUUGUUAACUUAAUAGCUUUAUAUACUCUCUGUGAAUUUUGUGUCGGGAAAGAUGGUUGUUUUGUGGGAUCUGCACAAGAGCGUCAUUCAAAAUGCUGAUAAUCGUAAGUAGUAUCUACUCUGAUAACAAUAACAAAUUACUUCUCUUUCCUAGAGGGAGAGGGAAGAAAAAAAAAACUACUUCUUUUGUUUAUACAUAUCCUAGAUAAUCUUGUAGAUGCCGAAAAUGAUCUUUGGGAAGCUUGAUAAAUAAGUCAUUCAUCAAGAGAGAUUUGCUGGAGAAAAAUUGCACAAUUUGAGAUACUAAUGAGGAUGAAAUUCGGUUGUUAACAUUGGCACAAAUUCGAAACUGGAAACAGCAAAAAUUGGAAUGUUCUUCAAGGAUGAGAAAGCUGAUGAUUUGGGGAAAGAUGCGGAGUAUAAGUUAUUUAUAGAAGUGAUGGUUGGUGGAGAGGGCUAGUCUGUUUUAUCGAAACGAUUAUCAGUUGGAGAAUCGAUUGUGCUGUAUGAAGGCAGCGAUGCUGGCUCUGAUGGCUGAUGUUAUAAUUUUUUUUUUCCUCCUACUAUCGAUUCGCAUUCGUGCUUUAUGUUUAGCUUAUAUUUAUCGAGAUUCUCCGAAUUUAGCAUCAACUACAAUCAAAAAUUUCCAGAAAUGUCCACAUUUUCUAAACUUUGAACUGUUGUUAUCAGCAUUAAACACGUUAUUGAUAGCUGCAAAACAAAAAAAAAAAAAAAAUUGUUAAAACUUUUAACUUGUUAUCAUUAUUUUAACAAUGGCACUGCUAUUAAAUUGGCUCUAGGUAUACGAUUUCGACUUUUUUUUUCUUUUAGUUAACCGAAAGGCAUUUGAUUUAUUGAUGGAGAUCCGCCAUUAAACAAGAGUGAACUGAAAAAAUUGAAGUUAAGUGCCAAAAAUUUAGGUCAACGGGUAUAAUGUUAUGGCUACGUUUCCCCUACAAUAGCAUAAUAAAUCUAUGAGACUAUUACUUGAUUUCCGCCAAUUAGCCUCAUAACAACCAAGAGGUACCAAUAAACAAUGGCAAUGUGGUGGUGUGACGUGUCAGCAUUUUGUUUCACGGUCGCUAUUUUAGUUGAACGUCCUCUGGCCGGACGUAGAUAACAAAACAUGGGUUUAGGUAUCAGUCACGUGAAUCGCUAUCUUCAUUAUCAUCGUCUAUUGUGUUGAUUCUCGCUCCCCUUUCCGAACGUUGUUAUGUUAACGCCUCAUUUUUGUGUUGUACAAGGCGUAACUCGAACUUAUGAGAUCUCAAUAGAAGGUAAUUAGAAUCUGUUACGUUUUAUCAGUUUCUCUUUCAUUAGCGCUUAAUGUGCGAACGUUAUCAUAUUCAAAAUUUUCUUUUAAUAAUCGCAUGUUUUGGAGAAAAAAUGCGACAGGUAUUAUUCAAAACAAGUUUCGUAAUAUAUCUGGAUCAAUAUAGGGAAUAUGAUCUGUUUUGAUACGCCGAAAAUCAUUAAAAAUAGCUAUUCGCAAACGAACUUUGUGCAAUGGUUUCGAAUUACUUAAAAGCGUAAUCGUUUUAAAGAAUACAUUGCACAAUGUGGAGAAAGACUCAAAAUUAAAUAUAGUUUUAUGCUUAUUCACGAUCACGAAUGUACUGUAGAUAAGAAAGAUAAAUUAGUUUAACUGUAUUUCAGUUUUUGGAAGUAAAUAGGUCAUCUACGC